rnacentral:rRNA from 1 species
GACGAACGCUGGCGGCGUGCCUAAUACAUGCAAGUCGAGCGGACCAAACAGGAGCUUGCUCUUGUUUGGUUAGCGGCGGACGGGUGAGUAACACGUGGGUAACCUGCCCGUAAGACCGGGAUAACUCCGGGAAACCGGAGCUAAUACCGGAUAACACCGAAGACCGCAUGGUCUUUGGUUGAAAGGCGGCUUCGGCUGCCACUUACGGAUGGGCCCGCGGCGCAUUAGUUAGUUGGUGAGGUAACGGCUCACCAAGGCGACGAUGCGUAGCCGGCCUGAGGGGGUGACCGGCCACACUGGGACUGAGACACGGCCCAGACUCCUACGGGAGGCAGCAGUAGGGAAUCUUCCGCAAUGGACGAAAGUCUGACGGAGCGACGCCGCGUGAGCGAAGAAGGUCUUCGGAUCGUAAAGCUCUGUUGUUAGGGAAGAAGAAGCGCCGUUCGAACAGGGCGGCGCGGUGACGGUACCUAACGAGAAAGCCCCGGCUAACUACGUG